rnacentral:tRNA from 1 species
GGGGACUUAGCUCAGUGGUAGAGCACUUGCCUAGCAAGCGCAAGGCCCUGGGUUCGGUUCCCAGCUCCG